CAGCAACUCUCCAGGACUGCCAGUAACUCUCCAGUAAUGCCAGCAACUCUCCAGGUCUGCCAGCAACUCUCCAGGUCUGCCAGUAACUCUCUAGUAAUGCAAGUAACUCUCCAGUAAUGCCAGUAACUCUCCAGUAAUGACAGCAACUCUCCAGGACUGCCAGUAACUCUCCAGUAAUGCCAGCAACUCUCCAGGACUGCCAGUAACUCUCCAGUAAUGACAGCAACUCUCCAGGACUGCCAGUAACUCUCCAGUAAUGACAGCAACUCUCCAGGACUGCCAGUAACUCUCCAGUAAUGCCAGCAACUCUCCAGUAAUGACAGCAACUCUCCAGGACUGCCAGUAACUGUCCAGUAAUGACAGCAACUCUCCAGGACUGCCAGUAACUGUCCAGUAAUGACAGCAACUCUCCAGGACUGCC